UGGACGGGGAAUCACUCGGCUCGUCCGUCAAUGAAGAGCGCGGCUAUCCGCGUGAACUGAUGCGAAUUGAAAAGACCUGGAAGAGCGUCGUGUAAGGAAA